rnacentral:lncRNA from 1 species
UUUAGGAUUUAGGGUUUAGGAUUUAGGGUUUAGGGUUUAGGGUUUAGAGUUUAGGGUUUAUGGUUUAGAGUUUAGGGGUGCGGUUUAGGGUUUAGAGUUUAGAGUUAAGGGGUCGGGUUUAGGAUUUAGGGUUUAGGGUUUAGGAUUUAGGAUUUAGGGUUUAGGGUUUAAAGUUUAGGGUUUAGGGUUUAGAGUUUAGGUUUUAGGGUUUAGAGUUGGGGAGUGGGGUUUUA